rnacentral:rRNA from 1 species
CCCUUAGAUGUUCUGGGCUGCACGCGCGCUACACUGAUGCGCUCAACGAGUUUUAACCUUGCCUGGAAAGGUUGGGUAAUCUUUUUAAAACGCAUCGUGAUGGGGAUAGAUUAUUGCAAUUAUUAAUCUUCAACGAGGAAUUCCUAGUAAGCGCGAGUCAUCAGCUCGUGCUGAUUACGUCCCUGCCCUUUGUACACACCGCCCGUCGCUCCUACCGAUUGAAUGGUCCGGUGAAGCGCUCGGACCGCGGCCUCUUGACGGUUCGCUGUCGAUUGGCUGUGGGAAGUUCGUUAAACCUUAUCAUUUAGAGGAAGGAGAAGUCGUAACA